rnacentral:lncRNA from 1 species
GGUCACCAUUGCUAGAUGGUUACAUCGAUUGGUAUAAAAAGUUAUUCCUAUGCUACCGGCUUAAGUUUGAACCUAUGAGAUUACAUGUAUUAGAAGAUUUGGUCAGAUCUGAUGGCUGAAGUCCAAUUAGAUUGACUUUAGUGAGGAGUCCGACUGGGACUGGGACUCUAGAGGAGAGCCCCAUUGAGACUGAAACUCUACCAUCAAUGAAGAAUUAAUUAGUAAUUAACUUAAUU